AUAGCUCAACUAUAGGCUUCGGGGGAUACUGCCAGACUGGAACCGGGAGAGGUAAGAGGUACUACAGGGGUAGGAGUGAAAUCUUGUAAUCCCCUGUGGGACCACCUGUGGCGAAGGCGUCUUACCAGAACGGGUUCGACGGUGAGGGACGAAAGCUGGGGGCACGAACCGGAUUAGAUACCCGGGUAGUCCCAGCCGUAAACGAUGCUCGCUAGGUGUCAGGCAUGGCGCGACCGUGUCUGGUGCCGCAGGGAAGCCGUGAAGCGAGCCACCUGGGAAGUACGGCCGCAAGGCUGAAACUUAAAGGAAUUGGCGGGGGAGCACAACAACGGGUGGAGCCUGCGGUUUAAUUGGACUCAACGCCGGACAACUCACCGGGGGCGACAGCAAUAUGUAGGCCAAGCUGAAGACUUUGCCUGAAUCGCUGAGGAGUGGUGCAUGG
rnacentral:rRNA from 1 species